GUUGCUUCAGCAGCACAUAACACUAAAAGUGGAAAGACACAGAGAAGAUUAGCAUAGUCCCUGGACAAGGAUGAUACAAAAUGCUUCCAGAGUAAACCUCUUUAC